CGAUGAGUGCUAAGUGUUGGAGGGUUUCCGCCCUUCAGUGCUGCAGCUAACGCAUUAAGCACUCCGCCUGGGGAGUACGACCGCAAGGUUGAAACUCAAAGGAAUUGACGGGGGCCCGCACAAGCGGUGGAGCAUGUGGUUUAAUUCGAAGCAACGCGAAGAACCUUACCAGGUCUUGACAUCCUUUGACCACUCUAGAGAUAGAGCUUCCCCUUCGGGGGCAAAGUGACAGGUGGUGCAUGGUUGUCGUCAGCUCGUGUCGUGAGAUGUUGGGUUAAGUCCCGCAACGAGCGCAACCCUUAUUGUUAGUUGCCAUCAUUCAGUUGGGCACUCUAGCAAGACUGCCGGUGACAAACCGGAGGAAGGUGGGGAUGACGUCAAAUCAUCAUGCCCCUUAUGACCUGGGCUACACACGUGCUACAAUGGGAAGUACAACGAGUUGCGAAGUCGCGAGGCUAAGCUAAUCUCUUAAAGCUUCUCUCAGUUCGGAUUGCAGGCUGCAACUCGCCUGCAUGAAGCCGGAAUCGCUAGUAAUCGCGGAUCAGCACGCCGCGGUGAAUACGUUCCCGGGCCUUGUACACACCGCCCGUCACACCACGAGAGUUUAUAACACCCGAAGUCGGUGAGGUAACCUUUUUGGAGCCAGCCGCCUAAGGUGGGAUAGAUGA
rnacentral:rRNA from 1 species